CGCAUCUGUGCAUGCAGCAUAUCAAUAAGCGGAGGAAAAGAAACUAACAAGGAUUCCCUUAGUAACGGCGAGUGAAGCGGGAAGAGCUCAAAUUUGAAAUCUUCAAGGUUUUACCUUGACGAAUUGUAGUUUAAAGAAGUGUUUUCUGUUGAAGUUUUGGUAAAAGUUCUUUGGAAUAGGACAUCAUAGAGGGUGAGAAUCCCGUAUUUGACCAUUAUUUUCAGCUGUGUGAUACACUUUCAAAGAGUCGGAUUGUUUGGGAAUGCAGUCCAAUAUGGGUGGUAAAUUUCAUCUAAAGCUAAAUAUUGGCGAGAGACCGAUAGCGAACAAGUACCGUGAGGGAAAGAUGAAAAGAGCUUUGAAAAGAGAGUUAAACAGUACGUGAAAUUGUCAAAAGGGAAGCGUUUGACACCAGUGUUGUUUUCUCGAAAAUCAAUUAAAAAGAGUUUGAUUUUGUUGUGUAUUGACCUUAACAGCUUGCAUUUCAAUUUUCUUGCUUUUUUUAAUGCACUUUUCGUUUAACAAGUCAACAUCAGUUUCUUUUGUUGUAAAAAGGUCAUUGGAAGGUGGCUUUCUUUUCGGAGAAAGUGUUUAUAGCCUUUGACUCCUGCAAUCGGAGAGACUGAGGUCUGCAGCGUAGAUCCUUCGGGGUUAGAUACAUUUGUGCUAAGUUAUAGCUUUUUAUAGACAACUUGUUGACUAUGAUUAGUCUUGUAGCUUACUCGCUUAUGCUAUUUUACCUACGCUUAGGAUGUUGAACUCUAUCACACACAG
rnacentral:rRNA from 1 species